CUACGGAGGGUGCAAGCGUUAUUCGGAAUCACUGGGCGUAAAGGACGCGUAGGCGGGUUGGCAAGUCAGAUGUGAAAUCCUACAGCUUAACUGUAGAACUGCAUUUGAAACUGCUAACCUAGAGUAUGGGAGGGGGAGAUGGAAUUAGUGGUGUAGGGGUAAAAUCCGUAGAUAUCACUAGGAAUACCGAAAGUGAAGGCGAUCUCCUGGAACAUAACUGACGCUAAGGCGUGAAAGCGUGGGGAGCAAACAGGAUUAGAAACCCUAGUAGUCC
rnacentral:rRNA from 1 species